GCAGCACUCGAAACCCUCCUAUUCCAUUGUGAGAAUGGUACGGUCCAGCCAGUCACAACAAUCAGCGCGCCUAGUGACGGGAGGAGGGGCAGUGGCUACGGGGUGACGUACAAUCGAGAUGCGAGACUAUACGCUGGAGUGUUCCAUCUAGGGUUUUCUAACAGUGUCAGUAGUUUGAAAUGUGAAUUGCUCUGCCAAAACAGAUGCAAGUAUCUAAUACCUGGACUCCAAAGGAACAUAUGCAGACUAUUGUCAAGUAAAACCAUUAAAAAUGGACUCUAAAAGGGGAAGGGAACAUUAACCCAUACUGUUCUAUGCUGUCUUCGGACCUCCAGGAAAUUAAAAUUUCAGAUGCGCCCCAGAGAGACACAAGACAGCGGGUUGAUAGGGCUUGAGCACCUGCAGAAUGGAGAGCCGGUUAGUGGGAUCAUUAAGGCCCCACACAUUCCAUGCCACUAUGUGUAAAUCAGUAGCCAUUGGAGAGGACAGUAAAAUAAAUGAAACAGGAAUAGGAGAGACACAUAGGCAAACGGCCAGUCAGAACAGGUCCCAACAGCAACAUGGACAGAAGAAUGAUUGCACGACCUGGAGGAAGGACAAAAAACAAGACAUACACCCCAAACAAACAACAUAGACACAGAUGUUGCAACUUGCAACACGAGGGGCAAAGAAAUUGCCCAUAAACCAAAAGCAUGUAGCAUACAAAUAAACAUUCUUCCCAUCAAUAGUGCAAGUACAAUCCCGGUAGAAGAAAAACAUAAGAUAGGCAUCUGGCAUAAUGCUAUAAAAACCAUAGAACAACACCCCAGGGGAUAAAGAAAAUAGGAGAUGAGUCCCCUCAAUCAUAUAGGGAUAUAAAGAUUACUUCACUAAACAAUGAAAAUUGAAGUGAGAAAAUGGAAAAAAAAGGCCAUGAGGCCAUGGGAGAGGAGUACAUUCAAGAGAGCUUCUUGCAGCAGAGUGAGGCAAGUCUGGGAGAGGCAAUUGUAGCAACCAGUGUGCCCACCACAUCGAUAGGAGACAUCCUCAGCAGAACAAGUCACGAAACAUUGUUGGCAAGCCAGCCAAAUCUGCACCUCAUGAGUGUCCAGCCAGUCUGCAGCAGCCAUAGAGGUAUCAAACAAGUGAGUAGGGCUCAGGGCCACGACCCUCAGUCUGGCCGGAUAAAGCAUGGAGUAGAUAACAUUGAGGGCACGUAAAUGUCUCUUGACAUACAUAUAUUUAGCUCUCUUCUUUUGGACCUCAGCAGAAAAGCUCCAUAUCCCGAGCUUUACAUAGAAUGAUGUCUCUAUCCUUAUAAUGCAGUAUGCGAUUAAGCACAUUUCUUGGUGGAGCCCCCAGCGGGAGAGGUCUAGUGAGCACCCUAUGUGCCCAUUCCACUGCAAAGGGGGGCGUCAUAGUCUCUCUUCCAAAAGUGGUAAGAAGCCAGCUCUCAAAGUACUCUCCAGGGUUGCGGCCCUCCACCUUCUCUGCCCCCCCCCGCCCCCACAAGGCGCACAUUAUUUCACCGCAGGCAAUUUUCCAUAUCAUCUGAUCAGCCAAUGCGGUUAGAUUAGUAAUCACAGGGUGCAUAUCACGCUUCAGGGGGGACCUGAUGCUCCAAAUCUUUCCUCCACCGCCCCAAUCCACUAACUUUCUGCAUAUCAUGGCGUAACAGGUUAAUGUCCUCACGCAUGCCACCAAUGAGAAGCUUCAUAUCGGCAUUCUCCUUAGAAAAAGCCAACAUCACAUCUUUAAGUGUAGGUUCAGGGGCAGCAGGGUGAAUAUCAAUGUCCCUAUGUGAUUGAGGCCCCACAGUAGCCGAGGAAGGGUUAAGGCCAGAGGAAGCAAGGCCCUGCAGUACUGAAACCAGUGGGAGAGCUUGUAGCAGCCGCAACAAGCGCUCCAGCAUCUGCAGAGUUAAGUCCAGGUUGCGCUGUGCUCACUGACUGGCCCAGCAAGUUGGAGGGCCCUGAGGCCGUGGAGGAAGCCUGUUCCCGCUGGCAGUCACUCUGCCCCUGCAUCGCUGACAUCGCUCCAGUCGUCAGCAGCAGCCCGAUCUAGCUCAGGGAGCUCCGUGACCAGGGAGAAGCGUUGGAGCCGCUCAGCCAUACCAGCCAUCUCGGCACAAGAUGGCGCCUGCUCACCAUGCGGCCCGGUCCUGCCGCCUCCCUGCGCCUUGGUCACUUUGUUCCUGUUACCCCGCCCGGCCAUCUCGCACCCCACUGCUCCAGGGGAGGUACGGCAGCACAAAUUGGGGUCUAGGACUUAAAGAGAAACUGACAGAUGGACUAACUCCACUUAUCUAAAUAUAUAGGUGGUUGGG